CUACGGGGCGCACCAGUCGAGAAGCUUCCGCAAUGGGCGAAAGCCUGACGGAGCGACGCCGCGUGAGUGAAGAAGGCCCUAUGGGUUGUAAAACUCUGUCAGAUUGGGAAGAAAAUUCCGUGGUUAACACCCACGGAACUUGACGGUACCAUCAGAGGAAGCACCGGCUAACUCCGUGCCAGCAGCCGCGGUAAUACGGAGGGUGCAAGCGUUGUUCGGAUUCACUGGGUAUAAAGGGUGCGCAGGCGGCCUGAUAAGUCAGAGGUGAAAUAUGACGGCUUAACCGUCAAACUGCCUCUGAAACUGUCAGGCUUGAGUCCGGGAGAGGAAGGUGGAAUUCCAGGUGUAGCGGUGAAAUGCGUAAAUAUCUGGAGGAACACCGGUGGCGAAGGCGGCCUUCUGGCCCGGAACUGACGCUCAGGCACGAAAGCAUGGGGAGCGAACGGGAUUAGAUACCCCGGUAGUC
rnacentral:rRNA from 1 species